rnacentral:rRNA from 1 species
AUGGAGCACGGCCAGGCGACUAACCGCGUCGACGAGUACGGCAACCCGGUGGCCGGACAUGGCGUCGGCACCGGCAUGGGGGCGCACGGCGGCGUGGGCACCGGCGCGGCCGCUGGUGGGCAUUUCCAGCCCACGAGGGAGGAGCACAAGGCCGGAGGGAUCCUGCAGCGCUCCGGCAGCUCUAGUAGCUCCAGCUCGUCUGAGGAUGAUGGCAUGGGCGGGAGGAGGAAGAAGGGCAUCAAGGGGAAGAUCAAGGAGAAGCUCCCCGGUGGCCAUGGCGACCAGCAACAGACCGCUGGCACCUAUGGGCAGCAGGGUCACACCGGAAUGACCGGCACCGGGGCGCAUGGUACAGCAGCCACUGGCGGCACCUACGGGCAGCAAGGACACGCCGGAGUGACCGGCACGGGGACGCACGGCACCGACGGCACUGGCGAAAAGAAGGGCAUCAUGGACAAGAUCAAGGAGAAGCUGCCCGGACAGCACUGA